rnacentral:rRNA from 1 species
GACGAACGCUGGCGGCGUGCUUAACACAUGCAAGUCGAACGGAAAUGCCCUUCUUUUGUGGGGUGCUCGAGUGUCUAACGUGUGAGUAACACGUGAGUAACCUGCCCUUGACUUUGGGAUAACUUCAGGAAACUGGGGCUAAUACCGGAUAGGAGCUCCUGCUGCAUGGUGGGGGUUGGAACGUUUCGGCGGCUGGGGAUGGACUCGCGGCUUAUCAGCUUGUUGGUGGGGUAGUGGCUUACCAAGGCUUUGACGGGUAGCCGGCCUGAGAGGGUGACCGGCCACAUUGGGACUGAGAUACGGCCCAGACUCCUACGGGAGGCAGCAGUGGGGAAUAUUGCACAAUGGGCGGAAGCCUGAUGCAGCAACGCCGCGUGCGGGAUGACGGCCUUCGGGUUGUAAACCGCUUUCGCCUGUGACGAAGCGUGAGUGACGGUAAUGGGUAAAGAAGCACAGGAUAACUAUGUG